GGGAGAGCUAGGCUGGCGCGCUAGUCCUGCGUUGUGACCGUGAACGGACUUUACACGGAGCCGAAGCCCAAGGAAGGAGUAGUGUUGUGAUGGUAGUCCUGUCGGACUUUGCUGACGGUCUGUCCUCUGGGAUGGUCGUACUGUGAACCUAGUCAGAUCAGGAAUGAAGCAGCUAUAAGCUGUGCGUUCCAUGUUCAGAGGGUUGCAGGUCUGAGAAGCUGAUGGGAUCAACUACUGUUGUUUCGUUACGUCGACUGCGGGUGUGCCCC
rnacentral:SRP_RNA from 1 species